AGUGAACGCUGGCGGUAGGCCUAACACAUGCAAGUCGAACGGCAGCACAGGAGAGCUUGCUCUCUGGGUGGCGAGUGGCGGACGGGUGAGGAAUACAUCAGAAUCUACCCUGUCGUGGGGGAUAACGUAGGGAAACUUACGCUAAUACCGCAUACGACCUACGGGUGAAAGCAGGGGAUCUUCGGACCUUGCGCGAUUGAAUGAGCCGAUGUCGGAUUAGCUAGUUGGCGGGGUAAAGGCCCACCAAGGCGACGAUCCGUAGCUGGUCUGAGAGGAUGAUCAGCCACACUGGAACUGAGACACGGUCCAGACUCCUACGGGAGGCAGCAGUGGGGAGUAUUGGACAAUGGGCGCAAGCCUGAUCCAGCCAUACCGCGUGGGUGAAGAAGGCCUUCGGGUUGUAAAGCCCUUUUGUUGGGAAAGAAAUCCAGCUGGCUAAUACCCGGUUGGGAUGACGGUACCCAAAGAAUAAGCACCGGCUAACUUCGUGCCAGCCGCCGCGGUAA
rnacentral:rRNA from 1 species